rnacentral:rRNA from 1 species
GAGGAAAGCGGGGGGCGUGCCUAAUACAUGCAAGUCGAGCGAACAGACGAGGAGCUUGCUCCUCUGACGUUAGCGGCGGACGGGUGAGUAACACGUGGAUAACCUACCUAUAAGACUGGGAUAACUUCGGGAAACCGGAGCUAAUACCGGAUAAUAUAUUGAACCGCAUGGUUCAAUAGUGAAAGACGGUUUUGCUGUCACUUAUAGAUGGAUCCGCGCCGCAUUAGCUAGUUGGUAAGGUAACGGCUUACCAAGGCAACGAUGCGUAGCCGACCUGAGAGGGUGAUCGGCCACACUGGAACUGAGACACGGUCCAGACUCCUACGGGAGGCAGCAGUAGGGAAUCUUCCGCAAUGGGCGAAAGCCUGACGGAGCAACGCCGCGUGAGUGAUGAAGGUCUUCGGAUCGUAAAACUCUGUUAUUAGGGAAGAACAAAUGUGUAUGUAACUAUGCACGUCUUGACGGUACCUAAUCAGAAAGCCACGGCUAACUACGUG